CCCCCAUGAAUUUUGUGCAUCGUGUCUCUAGUUACUAAAUAACAUUCAAAGGUAAGAUCUAAACAUGACAUCAAACUGUGAUGAAAUGGUUUCUAGCUUCUAUUUGAAAACAAGUCUUAAAAUGUCAGGGUUGAAAUUUCUGAGAUCAACUAGGUCAGUGACUUUAAGUAGGGAAACUUGUUGAAACAAAUCCCUGCUCAAAAGCUCAUAAGCAAAACUUUUCCCAGAAGAGUAGGAAACCUUAAACCUUUUUGUCCAGAACUCUCCCACUCUAACAAAAUUAGAAAAUUACUAAGUUGGUAAUAACCUUUUUAUUUCACAGAUCUAAGAAAAUGAUAGGCCCAAAGAGGUUAAGGCACUGACUAACCCCAGAUUACUCAGUCUGCACAUGACAGAUGUAGAGCUUGGUUAUACCAUAAUUGUUUCUUUGGAGAACACAUUAAUUCAGAGUGUCACAAAGAAAGAGAGUGUGUAACAGAAACACAGUAAUUUUAAUUGAGCCCCCAGAGGCCAAUUCACAAGGUCCAAGGAUUUCAGUUUCUUAAAAAUAUCAAAAGACUGAAUGUCAUCCUCUCACUCUUGCUCUUUACACUGGAUGCUAUGUCUCUAGGUAACAAUAGAUACUUUAAUAAGGUCCUUACUAGGUAAGGGGACCUGAUUAGGCAGGUCUGCUAUGUGGGUCAGGUAAUUUGCAGCUCUUUUUUUCAGAUCUAUCAAAGUAUAUUAAAGAAAAUGGGGGUUAGGGAGUGUCAACACAUCUAAAACAAUGGAUAACAUACAGAUUGCUUUAUUCAAUCUAGCUAAAGUCAGUUUAAUUCACUAUUUACCAAAUAAAUACUGAGUGUAUAUAAUAUGUAGGUAAUGUGGGGAAAAACUGCCACCCAAAGAAAGAUUUAUCUAAGUCUUUCUUAAUCCUUACUGCUUCAGUGGAAAAAUAAUUUCCAUACUUAAAACCAAUGAACCACUUUUGUGUCUAUGUACUGACCCUAUCAUUCCUAAAACAAAUUUACUCGUUCCCCACCCUCAUCCAAUUACUACAUUUCUGCCUGAGACUACUCCCAGAAGCCAUACUCUAUUCUUGGAUGCCUGCCCCAACCAGUUCACCAAGCUCUCCUAGAGCCAGGUCCUGAAAUCCCUUCUCCUCUCCCAGAAAGCCUUAACUUGAAAGCCGGGUUAAUCUCUCUAGCUCUACCCACAGACAGUUUAUAACUGCCACAACUCUCGGUACACAUCUUAUAAUAGAUGCCUAUUAGUUUGUUCACAAGUUAAUUUCCUUUAAUCAUUGCUUAUUCAGUAUAUUAACCAUUACUCUUGUUAGGUACCAGUGUCGUUAUUAAAUAAAAGCUACUGGAUAAAAAGGCAUGUAUUUAAUUUGGAUUCAGCACUGAAAAUGCCAGGUGUUUAAUGCCCCUUUUUUAAAAUGCCUUCAGAAAAUGAUUUCAGAUAUAUUAAAUUCAACCUGUCUUGUGAAAUUUACAAAAUCUCCCAAUAUGGAUAAAUCUAAAUAGCAUUAUGCUAGGUGAGAGAAGCCAGACACAAAUGUUACCUCAUAUAUGAUUGUAUUUACAUGAAAUUCUAGGAAAAACUAGUGAUGAAAGCAAAUCAACCGGGGCCAGGAAUGGAGAGAUUACAUACAAAGGGAAAAGAGUUUAAAAUUUUUAGGCUAAUGCAAUUGACAUUUUCUUUGAGAAGGAAAAUACGUAGGUAUUUAAAUAAAAAUUUUCAUUAUUCCACAGUAACAAAUUUACUUUCCCACAAAGCUGGGUGUUUUUUGUUUUUAGGGAUGGGAAUUAAAAUCUCAAAUCUGGAUCAUUUUAGAUUUCAUAUUAACCUUUAUCUCAAAAGAUAAACCUGGGAUUUUCUUCCAAAUAAUUUACUUUAUCACUUAACAACCAACAGAACAUUUCAUUAUUCAAUUCUCCCUUUAAAAUGUCUAUCAACAUUGGAAAUUGUUUCAGGAUAGUGUUAAUUUGGUUGUUUCCCCAUCAGAAUGAAUGUAUGUAAUCUAGCCCUUAAUUCAAGAUUGGAGGAAUAGAAAUUGGAAAAGGAAGCCACAGUACAUACCAAUUCCACUUAAUUCUCAACUAUCCUGGAUCUUUUUGUUAUUUUUGAGUAACUGCUGCAGAAUCGCUGGGUUUUAAGCUAUCUUUUAGUAUCUAUUCUAGGAAAGGACUCUUUAAUCUCAAAAACCAAACUAUUCUAAAACCUUUUAAACAUUUUCUCUGAUGUGACUGACAACUCAACAGGUUAAAGUUACUUAUCAAACUGUGGUUUCGAGAUGAAGCUUUCUUUUAAUAUAACUGAGAUCUGAGUAUAAAUUUCAACAUAGCGCUGCGCUCAAACUGCCUUUGCAAUUACCCGUAGAAAUUUAGUACAGACUGAAAUGCAGCCAACACUGCCAUUCUUGAAAGAGUAAUUAACACCUUGAGAGGGACUUCGCAUAGUAUAAUUUAGUAAUUUCACGUCGCAUCUGCUGCAGAGAUCACAGACUGUCAUUAUGCCAUCUCCUUCCUUGAACCCCACUACCACCCGCAGCUUUCUUCUUGGCUUUUCAAAGGUUUAAUCCACUCAGGUCCGCUAACGGGGGAAUCGAGGCACCUUCCCUUGCGAACCCACGCAGAGAAAAGGGCAGGAAAAUGCGGUUGAGUCACGUCGCUCCGCCAUUUUCUAAGCGGAGGAGGAAGACAUGUUGGAACAAAAACACAACAAAAGAGCAGCCAUUUCCCAAGCCAGCUCCAACAGCCGCCCGCGCUGGCGGGGCCGGUCCCCUCGGCACCUCCACAUCCACCUCCCGGGGCAAACCCCGCGCAUCAGAGGUGCCGGCGGAGGAAGCGGCCUCCGACCCCGCCGCGCAGGGAUCAGGGCUGACCCGCAGGCCCACGAACCGCAGCGCCUCGGGAAGGACGACGCACGCCAGACGGGGCCGAGUGCAAGCCACGGAAAAGCGACAUUAAGUUGACAAACUGAAAUGUACUCGGUGCUUGUGCCGACCAAGAGUUCAAAGGAAACCACUGGCUAAAGGCAACCAGCUCCAGACCCAGAAAUGCAGCAAGGCCAGGCAGGGCAAUGCCAUGGCUGCCAUAGGACUGGCUGCCAGCAGGACUGGCUGCUGUGACGAAUGACUCCCCUGCCCUGGCACCUACCAGUUGGAGACCAGAACCCUGGAAGGACACACCUGGAAAGCUGAUGAAUAUUCUAUUGAGAUCCUCCCCUGGGACCGCCAGAUAAAAACCCUCAAGACACUGAUUCCAACAGGAAAGAAAAGGAGAGGCUUGGGAAGAAAAUAUUGGUGUAAAGAAGUUCUUGAUGAGCUAAAAAUUUUAAAG